rnacentral:rRNA from 1 species
CUACGUGCCAGCAGCCGCGGUAAUACGUCUGUCGCAAGCGUUAUCCGGAAUUAUUGGGCAUAAAGGGCAUCUAGGCGGCCAGAUAAGUCUGGGGUGAAAACUUGCGGCUCAACCGCAAGCCUGCCCUGGAAACUAUGUGGCUAGAGUACUGGAGAGGUGGACGGAACUGCACGAGUAGAGGUGAAAUUCGUAGAUAUGUGCAGGAAUGCCGAUGAUGAAGAUAGUUCACUGGACGGUAACUGACGCUGAAGUGCGAAAGCUAGGGGAGCAAACAGGAUUAGAUACCCUGGUAGUCCUAGCUGUAAACGAUGAUUACUGGGUGUGGGCAUGAAGAGUGUCCGUGCCGAAGCUAACGUGAUAAAUCGACCGCCUGGGGAGUACGGCCGCAAGGUUAAAACUCAAAUGAAUUGACGGGGGCCCGCACAAGCGGUGGAGCAUGUGGUUUAAUUCGAUGCAACGCGAAGAACCUUACCUACUCUUGACAUCCAGAGAACAUUC